rnacentral:rRNA from 1 species
CCGAAGAUAGGGAGAUAGUGGCGAAAUACUUUUCGCACGGGUUGAUAGCUGGUUGUCCUAGAAAUAUAUUUAAGUAUAGCUUCUCUAGUGGAUGGGUGUUAAAAAAAAACUUAGUCGUUGGGCGGUGGUGUUUUCUAGUGAAAGUUGACUUUUUCAGGAUAAGCUGGGAAAGGUUAGAAAAAGUGAUUGUCGAAGUGGUGAGCAAGGAAGUGGGCUUAAAGGAGUCAUCUUUUACAGAGUGGGUUUGUCCUCACAAGUGCUCUUUUCAUAAAUAGAAAAUUAUUUGCUUUUUAAUUCUAUGGGACUUUUUUACGAAACGUUGGUAGUAAAAGUAAUAAUGUAAGGAUGAGUAGUCGAGUUGGUUGUAAGGGGUUCUUAGUUUCGGGGUAUAGGGCGAUAAGGGGGAUAAAGUUUUAGUAAUCAGAGUUAAAGGAACUCGGCAAAAUAGGGGACCGCCUGUUUAUCAAAAACAUGGCCUCCUGAUUACCAUGGGAGGUCGUGCCUUCCCGGUGAGCUUUCGA